ACAGACACAGAUAGACGUUUGAAUCCUUUUAUUUUAAUCUUUGAUUCUAACCCUUUCUUGAAACAAGCCGUUAACCCCUUUGUGCCACCAUUAUGCAAAGAGAUGUUAAACAUCACAGUUGACAUUAACAGUUUUUUGGGUCUUCCUGAAGUAAAUGUUGAGGUUUAGGAACCAGUUAGUCGGUUGCCUUUAUUGGGUUUCAAAGAAGAGUCAACAGAUCCACAAUUGCCUGAGAAGAUAGAACCUCACACAUUGUAUAAGAAAGAAAGAAAGAAAAGAAAGAAAGAAAGAAAGAAAGAAAGAAAGAAAGAAAGAAAGAAAGAAAGAGAGGUUGGAAGUUACAGUCUCCACAGAUGCCAGAAAGUAUUGUGAUGCUAGUUUGUUCAGCAAGUGUGAGAAGCUGGAACUUUACAAUACGGUAUAUUUAAUGUUAUUGUAGCCAGUAAAACAGGUCGAUAAUUUCAGCCUCAGUCUCCCAUUGUCAUGUUCUUUACUUCGCCUUUGGCUGCCCUCCUCCUCUUUCUCCUGAGUGGACCCCUACGUGUCUGCCCCAAAGCUUUGCCCUGAUGGCACCGCUGGAGUUCUUGGAGGCCUUGUGUUCUCGUUACUCUCUUUUAUUGUAUUUAUUUAUUUAUUUCAUAUUUUCUCACAUGUAGUAAUGCUCUUGUGUUAUUUCAGCAUUACAGAUCAAUAUAUUUGUUUAAACUGAAAUAUCUCCAAGGAAAGUAAGCAGCAACUCCAAAGAGGUGGCAUCCAUGAGCUGCUAAUGAAAAACACCACUCCCAUAAUCCUGGAAAGAACAGGUGAUGGCAAUAACUGGAUCUGGUCAUCCUGGCCUGCUCAGAUAGCAAACCAGAAAUUGGAAGGAUGAUCAAGAAGAGGCCUGGCCUAGGCACCAGAAAGUGUCCUGUCAGCAGGGAUUCCAGAGCACAAAUUGCAUCUGGGCUGCAGACACUCCAGGAGAUAUGGACUUCAGGAAUACAGUCCAUGAGAAGUUUAGUUUCCUGUUCUCUGUGAUGGCUCUGCGGAAGAUGAAUGCAUUUAUGUUUGUUAGGGAGUCACACUGCACACUCCAAGCUUCUUUCCUUUCUCCUCCCAUACCUCACAUGUGGAGGUCAUACUUCUCCCAUUGAUCAGUAAUGAUGGUUGCAUAGCAUUUUUAACUGGUCAGCUGCAAGCAAAAAAUAAUAAUAAUAAUAAAGUAUAUGCCUUUUUCUGAGAUGAAGGAGAGAUUGGGAAACUGCCUUUGAAUCAUUUCUACUUAGAAAAUCCUGAAAGGAUUGUCGUAAGUUGGACUAAUUCAUUUGAUGGCAUGUAAUUAUUUAUCAUUACUGCCCUGGUUUUCAGUGUUUGAAAUGUAUGAAGUAGACAAAUAAUUGUG